UCCCGUAUAGCUCAGUUGGCAGAGCAAUCCAACCCUGCCCUUGCAGGAGGAAGUGUCUCCGGUUCGAGUCCGGAUGCGGGAGCCA
rnacentral:tRNA from 2 species